rnacentral:rRNA from 1 species
GAGCGGAUGAAGGGAGCUUGCUCCUGGAUUCAGCGGCGGACGGGUGAGUAAUGCCUAGGAAUCUGCCUGGUAGUGGGGGACAACGUUUCGAAAGGAACGCUAAUACCGCAUACGUCCUACGGGAGAAAGCAGGGGACCUUCGGGCCUUGCGCUAUCAGAUGAGCCUAGGUCGGAUUAGCUAGUUGGUGAGGUAAUGGCUCACCAAGGCGACGAUCCGUAACUGGUCUGAGAGGAUGAUCAGUCACACUGGAACUGAGACACGGUCCAGACUCCUACGGGAGGCAGCAGUGGGGAAUAUUGGACAAUGGGCGAAAGCCUGAUCCAGCCAUGCCGCGUGUGUGAAGAAGGUCUUCGGAUUGUAAAGCACUUUAAGUUGGGAGGAAGGGUNGUUAAUAUAUAUCUGCAAUUUUGACGUUACCGACAGAAUAAGCACCGGCUAACUCUGUG